rnacentral:rRNA from 1 species
GACGGAGGCUGCAAGUGUUAUCCGGAAUCACUGGGCGUAAAGCGUCUGUCGGUGGUUUAAUAAGUCAACUGUUAAAUCUUGAGGCUCAACCUCAAAAUCGCAGUCGAAACUAUUAGGCUAGAGUAUAGUAGGGGUAAAGGGAAUUUCCAGUGGAGCGGUGAAAUGCGUAGAGAUUGGAAAGAACACCGAUGGCGAAGGCACUUUACUGGGCUAUUACUAACACUCAGAGACGAAAGCUAGGGUAGCAAAUGGG